GAAUUUAGAACACAAUUUCUUUACAUGAAAUUGAAGUUUUCUCUAAUUGAGAACUCUCUUUUUGUUCAAAUUGUGUUACAAAUUUUGUGUUUUUUUUCUUUUUACAGGUGGACUUAAAAGAGAUCAAGUAUGCCGGGGAUUGGUAGGAUCAACAUAUAAGAGCUGCUGAGUAUGGAACGCCAAAGAACCCACUUAAUCAGCUACAUAUCAACAUCAACAACAUCAACGGUGUGUUGCCAAUUCAAUUUGCAAGGAAGUGUUUGAAAAUGCUCAAGGAGGAGAGGUCAGAAAUUUCGUUUGGAUUUUAUACUUUGGAAAAUGUUCUAUUCCUCUGCAUAUUUCAUUUUUGGGAGUUUAACAAAACACUCCCGAAAAAAUGACAAUUUUACUUUAAAAAAUCACUCAUGACACUAUUCACAUACAACACAUUUUUGUCAUUUUGAUUAAAACUCAAAGUUUUCAAGCCUUUUUCAUUAGUUUUCCUUUCAUUUUUAUGAGGUCAAAUAGAUUCUGUAUUAGUUGUGUGUGUUGAUGUGGGGGUGUUGGGUUGUUUGAGUUGGUCCUAGCUGAUUUUGAUAUUAUUGAUUUGUCAGUGUAAUUAAGUUGAUUGAAUUCGAUUUUGAAGCUUGGGAAGA